rnacentral:lncRNA from 1 species
CAGUUUUCAGAGAAAUUUUUUUUUAAGUGUUCUUGUCUUUCUCAUGGUUUGCUAAACACUUGAUUACCACAAAAUAAUUCAUACACUGGUCGAAAAUGAGAGCAAAUAUGAAUGAUUACUUGAAAGUGUUUAGAUGAUUUAGCACAAAGACGAGGAAGAGAGUCACCAUGUGAAGCCGCAAGGAGCAGUCACAGAUAACACCCUAUAGUUCAAAUAUUUCCUUUUCUUAUCGUAAAAUGGUCAUGGAUAACCCCCUUCGGCUAUUCUUUCUUCCCUUUAUCUUUAUUGUUAAUUAUUGUUUUUUGUGUCGAAAGGCAAGAUUGCAUC